CCGAGCGGCCGCUGCCGGCUCGCGCCGGUUCCGGCCGGCCGGGGGCGGUUCCGCGCGGCGCGGCGCUCUGGGAAAUGGGGGAGACGGCGCGCAAAAGCGGCCCUGAGAGGGGCGCGGGGCUGCCCGGGCGCUACCGAAGGCCGCGCCGGAGCCGCCGCCGCCGCCGCCGCGGUCCGUCCGCAGAAGAGACGUUGAAAGGAUCCCGAGCCCGCCGGCGGCCGGUAACGGCGGGGCGGGCGCAGGCUCUGCCCCUCGCGCGGGGGCAGCUGCGCCGCUGGCGGCUGCCGGGGGACCUCCUGUUAUUACCAGAGCAGUUCUCAUCACUGGGUGUUACUCCUUUGGCUGGAAAAGAUGAUUGCCUGGAUGAAUCCCACUUAAGAAGGAAGGCCAAGAUACAGCAGCUGUUACUGACAAAUGCAUCCAAAGCCUGUGCAAUAAUUCUGUCAGAUCUCUGCCUUGCCUCUGUCAUUAUCUUGUAUUGAACAUCAUCACUGAGCUUCAGUGUAUCUCUUCCUUACCUCCAUGGGGUAUUGUAAAGUGAAGUCUCUAACGGAACAGACUGCUGCUUCCUACAAAAUUCACUAAACAUAAUACAAGAAAAGUUUCCUUCCUUCCCAUAAUGAUCUUUAAAUGUUCACUGCCAAAAAAAAUCCAACAUUGUCUUUUUUUCUAAGAAGGACAAAGCCUAAUUCAUGAUGUUUGAUUAUGUUACAGAAUAACCAUUUUGGUGUUGCAGGCCCCAGUACCCCCUUACAACAGUGUAGCUCUUGAUUAGAAAGAAUUUAUUCCUAAUUUAUGCGAGUAUGAAAGAAGGCCUUUAAUUUUCCAAAGAGCUCUUUAUGUUAUGUCUUUUAAAACAUACAGUCACAAUAAAUUAUAUUUCUGGCAUGUUCUUAAAA